GGGUAACCUGCCUCUACCAUCCGUCCUAUUAGGCAACGUGUAAUCAUUGGAUAAUAAACUGGAUGAGCUCCGUUCAAGACUAUCCUACCAACGGGACAUUAAAAAUGGUUAUAUCUUAUGUUUCACUGAGUCGUGGCUGAACGACGACAUGGAUAAUAUACAGAACAGCUGCAUCCGUGACCGUACGUACAUACCCCAACCAGAAGCCAUGGAUUACAGGCAACAUCCACACUGAGCUAAAGGGUAGAGCUUCUGCUUUCAAGGAGCGGGACUCUAACCCGGACGCUUAUAAGAAAUCCCGAUAUGCCCUCAGACGAACCAUCAAACAGGCAAAGCGUAAAUACAAGACUAAGAUUGAAUCCUACUACACCAGCUCCGACACUAGUUGGAUGUGUCAAGGCUUGCAAACUAUUACGGAAUACAAAGGGAAGCCCAGCCGCGAGCUGCCCAGUGACACAAGCCUACCAGACGAGCUAAAUGACUUCUAUGAGCGCUUCAGGGGAGGGAAACUGAAGCAUGCAUGAGAGCACCAGCUGUUCCAGAUGACUGUGUGAUCACACACACCGUAGCCAAUAGGACCUGAGCCCUAGGACCAUGCCUCAGGACUACCUGACAUGAUGACUCCUUGCUGUCCCCAGUCCACCUGGCCGUGCUGCUGCUCCAGUUUCAACUGUUCUGCCUUAUUAUUA
ensembl:lncRNA